rnacentral:rRNA from 1 species
GAUCAUGGCUCAGGAUGAACGCUAGCUACAGGCUUAACACAUGCAAGUCGAGGGGCAGCAUGGUCUUAGCUUGCUAAGACUGGUGGCGACCGGCGCACGGGUGAGUAACACGUAUCCAACCUGCCGUCUACUCUUGGACAGCCUUCUGAAAGGAAGAUUAAUACAAGACGGCAUCAUGAGUCCGCAUGUUCACAUGAUUAAAGGUAUUCCGGUAGACGAUGGGG